CUGUCAGAUGCUUUACAUAUUGCGAUACUUGUCCUCGGGCAUAUGCUCUCCCACAUGUAGUUAUGGUAUUUGACCAACUCCUUAACUGUACAGGACUCCAAUAAAUAAGGACAUCCAGCUAGUUGAGUCUCACUACUACUAUAAAUAUAGAAUCUUGAGCCACUAUUCAGGUACGUUUUUCAUUGUUCUCCAACUUAUAGCCUCACACAUAUAAUUUCCUUUCUGACUUAAGUAUCGGAGGGCGACGAAAACACACCUCGUUGCAUUUGUUUCAUGUACCGGAAGAUUACGAUCGUGCUCAAUCCGAAUCAUCAAGCUCGGGAAAUCUGCAGGUACAAUUUUUGGUAGCAUCAUAGUGUUAUCCUUUUUUGGAACCGAGCUGUCGAUUCUACCAUAACAAAUUUUUUUAAAAUAAAGUAGCCAGAAAAACAUUAAACAAUUUUUAAACGAGUUCAUUCAAUUGAUUAUGCUAUUAACCAAAAAGGUUUGUAUCAGUUCCUCUUGAUUUCUAAAAUUUUUCUCGUUCAGUUUUCUUAGAUCUCCUUCAACAAUAUCUGUUGCACAGUAAUGAAGAAAAUCAAUGAUAUUAAACUAAUUUAC
rnacentral:lncRNA from 1 species